rnacentral:SRP_RNA from 1 species
UGUUUGGGUCUUACGCGACGGGACUCCAUGAACCGUGUCAGGUCAGGAAUGAAGCAGCACUAAGUGGAACCUCUCGGGUGCCGUAAGGGUGCCUGGGCUGAGU